rnacentral:rRNA from 1 species
CCUACGGGAGGCAGCAGUAGGGAAUCUUCCACAAUGGACGAAAGUCUGAUGGAGCAACGCCGCGUGAGCGAUGAAGGCCUUCGGGUCGUAAAGCUCUGUUGUUAGGGAAGAACAAGUACCGGAGUAACUGCCGGUACCUUGACGGUACCUAACCAGAAAGCCACGGCUAACUACGUGCCAGCAGCCGCGGUAAUACGUAGGUGGCAAGCGUUGUCCGGAAUUAUUGGGCGUAAAGCGCGCGCAGGCGGUCCUUUAAGUCUGAUGUGAAAGCCCACGGCUCAACCGUGGAGGGUCAUUGGAAACUGGGGGACUUGAGUGCAGAAGAGGAAAGCGGAAUUCCACGUGUAGCGGUGAAAUGCGUAGAGAUGUGGAGGAACACCAGUGGCGAAGGCGGCUUUCUGGUCUGUAACUGACGCUGAGGCGCGAAAGCGUGGGGAGCAAACAGGAUUAGAUACCCUGGUAGUCCACGCCGUAAACGAUGAGUGCUAAGUGUUAGAGGGUUUCCGCCCUUUAGUGCUGCAGCAAACGCAUUAAGCACUCCGCCUGGGGAGUACGGCCGCAAGGCUGAAACUCAAAGGAAUUGACGG